rnacentral:lncRNA from 1 species
GGUGCCAAGGAUUGUGAAUGAGCUCCCUUGUUGUCUCUGGCCCAUGUCUCUGUAGCACAAUCAAGUGGCAGGUCCCAAGACAAAGCAUUACCUGGCUGCCAAAGAUUAGAGGGCCAGCCCUACCUGCUACACAUACAUAUGGCAAAUGCUCUCGUCAACCGCUCUUAAUGAUGUUAUGAAUUUAAAAAGGAGGACAGCGCAGGGUCAAGAUGGCUGACUAGAAACAGCGGCAAUCAAGUUUCCCAUGGAAAAGAACCAUAAGCAUGUGAAUCCUUUAACGGCAACCAACAUAUCCAGG